CUCAGAGUGAACGCUGGCGGUAGGCCUAACACAUGCAAGUCGAACGGCAGCACAGUAAGAGCUUGCUCUUAUGGGUGGCGAGUGGCGGACGGGUGAGGAAUACAUCGGAAUCUACCUUUUCGUGGGGGAUAACGUAGGGAAACUUACGCUAAUACCGCAUACGACCUUCGGGUGAAAGCAGGGGACCUUCGGGCCUUGCGCGGAUAGAUGAGCCGAUGUCGGAUUAGCUAGUUGGCGGGGUAAAGGCCCACCAAGGCGACGAUCCGUAGCUGGUCUGAGAGGAUGAUCAGCCACACUGGAACUGAGACACGGUCCAGACUCCUACGGGAGGCAGCAGUGGGGAAUAUUGGACAAUGGGCGCAAGCCUGAUCCAGCCAUACCGCGUGGGUGAAGAAGGCCUUCGGGUUGUAAAGCCCUUUUGUUGGGAAAGAAAAGCAAUCGAUUAAUACCCGGUUGUUCUGACGGUACCCAAAGAAUAAGCACCGGCUAACUUCGUGCCAGCAGCCGCGGUAAUACGAAGGGUGCAAGCGUUACUCGGAAUUACUGGGCGUAAAGCGUGCGUAGGUGGUUGUUUAAGUCUGUUGUGAAAGCCCUGGGCUCAACCUGGGAAUUGCAGUGGAUACUGGGCAACUAGAGUGUGGU
rnacentral:rRNA from 1 species